UUGAAAGGGAAACGAUUGAAGUCAGUCGUACCUGUGGGUAAUCAGCCUUUUGGGUGUGAUUUUGUGGAGUGUGAGGAGUUAAACGCCUUCAUGCCUGCAUAUUCGUGCACUUUGGGUGUAUUUACCCGUGUGGUAAGUUAACAUCAAUUUCGGUGGUCAUAAAAUGGCUGGAGGAAUGUAGCUUCGAUCUCGUAUUGAAGUGUUAUAGCCUUCGGUAGAUGUGAUAAUCGGGAUUGAGGAUUGCAACGGAUACCUUCGGGGCUACCUGUCUGAUCUCUGAUCGUUGCUCUGGUGCCGAAAGCUUGCUUACGGUUAUCAAAGUCGAUGGUCAAUAGGUCAGAACGGGUUAAAUUCGUUAAGGAUGUUGACGUA
rnacentral:rRNA from 1 species